rnacentral:RNase_P_RNA from 1 species
CGGGCAGGUUUCGGUAACCGUGGUUGAAUAAGCUACUGCACUUUACUGGCUGCAACGACUGGGUCUGUCUCCCAUUAAACUGGGUCUUGAUUUAAACGGCGGUGUACUGUUCGGAACCGGUAAGGGUGCGGUAAGAGCGCACCGGGCCACUGGUAACAGUUGGUUGCAAUGUAAACUCCACCCGGAGCAAGACCAAAUAGGGUUCCUUAUGGUGUGGCCCGCAUCGGAACCGGGUAGGUUGCUCGAGCUUGGGAGCGAUCCCAAGCCUAGACGAAUGAUUAUCGAUCUCCCUCGGGAGAGAACAGAACCCGGCUUACAGGCUGACUCACCCC